rnacentral:rRNA from 1 species
UAGGGAAUCUUCCGCAAUGGACGAAAGUCUGACGGAGCAACGCCGCGUGAGUGAUGAAGGUUUUCGGAUUGUAAAGCUCUGUUGUUAGGGAAGAACAAGUACCGUUCGAAUAGGGCGGUACCUUGACGGUACCUAACCAGAAUAAGCAUCGGCUAACUCCGUGCCAGCAGCCGCGGUAAUACGGAGGAUGCGAGCGUUAUCCGGAUUCAUUGGGUUUAAAGGGUGCGUAGGCGGACUAUUAAGUCAGUGGUGAAAUCCUGCAGCUUAACUGCAGAACUGCCAUUGAUACUGAUAGCCUUGAGUUUGGUUAAGGUAGGCGGAAUGUGUAAUGUAGCGGUGAAAUGCUUAGAUAUUACACAGAACACCAAUUGCGUAGGCAGCUUACUGAGCCGACACUGACGCUGAGGCACGAAAGCGUGGGGAUCGAACA